CGAAAGCCUGACGGAGCAAGACCGCGUGAGGGAGGAAGGCUCUUGGGUUGUAAACCUCUUUUCUCAGGGAAGAAGCUCUGACGGUACCUGAGGAAUCAGCCUCGGCUAACUCCGUGCCAGCAGCCGCGGUAAUACGGAGGAGGCAAGCGUUAUCCGGAAUUACUGGGCGUAAAGCGUCCGUAGGGGGCUCGUCAAGUCUGCUGUCAAAGCUCGGAGCUCAACUCCGACCCGGCAGUGGAAACUGGGGAGCUAGAGGGCGGCAGGGGCAGAAGGAAUUCCCGGUGUAGCGGUGAAAUGCGUAGAUAUCGGGAAGAACACCGGUGGCGAAAGCGCUUUGCUGGACGGCAACUGACACUCAGGGACGAAAGCUAGGGGAGCG
rnacentral:rRNA from 1 species